UCAAUAAAGUCCAAAGCCACCGUGAUGCUUCAUAGCAUACAAAAAGGCAUACAAAAAGUGUUCACGGAAGGCAGAGUACUUCGUAGGUAAGGUAAUGGAAAGACUGCAAGUAGAUGCUGUAGGAUACGGUGAAACAUGCCAUUUCUGAGAAGCUCAGAAAUGGUAUAGCUUGUGAAGAACGCUAGUACAUCUUGAAGUGUAACGUCUGAAUACAACAUUUUAACAUAAUUAUGUAACGAUAAACUUUGACCUACAAAAGAUGUAGGUAUUCUGUAUUGGCACUGCUACCAACCGAUGAAAAUGACUUCGACUCAAGCAGAUUGAGUAUUGAAUCUUACUUUGAUUAUGGGCUAAUGGGCUAACGAAUUACAACACGUGUACUAAUAGGCCUUUUCACAAUAAGCUAUGGAAUGUCUGCAUGACACAGUAAUUAGUUUUCCUUUAACUGGGUGAAGUUUUACUAUCACUGCAAUGUCGUUCAGUUAGUACUAAGGAUGCCAAAAGAAAAUUUGAAGCACCAAAGUGGCUUGUGAAAAAACUCCUUAGCUUACCUGCAUCCAAGAAAGUAGUUUCCGACUUCACAAAGAAAUACUUGAAAAAUAUUGGGUACUCCGUGCCAGAUUCCAGCCAUAAACUGGAUCGAUCCAGUGCUUUGACAUGGAGAGCAAUGCUUUUGACCAAAUUCGGAACAUCUUCAACCGAGAGUGGUUUCGUCACGUCCACCAGUUUGUCAUGACACUCAGUGAGCUAUGUCAUACACAUUACCUAUAGUUAAUACCUUUUCCACAGCAUUCUUCACCUCAAUUUCUUCUUUUCCAGUAAUGAGGGUAACCUGAACCACCUUGAACCAAGGACAUCCCAACGAGAAUACCAAUACGUUUGUAGUGUUCAUCCUGAAUAUGAAACUGGUCACACCACACGUAUACACCACACGUAUCUUUCCCUACUUCUCCCACAAACCAAGUCUAGAAAAUAAAAAGCUAUUAAUGAAACACACACAAUUUACACGGCCGGCACAGUGCACAAAACGUUCCAUUCAUACUUAAGUACUUACCGUUACUCUCUUGAAUGGACUGAAAUUCUUUUUGCGAGUUUCCCACAGUAGGCUCAUAUCUCAGGUUUCAGCAUAUCUACCGUUACUCUCUUGAAUGGACUGAAAUUCUUUUUGCGAGUUUCCCGCAGUAGGCUCAUGCUUGCUGCUGCUUAAUAACAUCAUGUAGGCUUGAUAUAUUUUAGAAAGCAUCUCUCUCACGGCUCAGAGCCAUUGUAAACUCCAUCAGGGCACUUUCAGUUUCAGUAACAUCUUACUGUAGCUGCAUAAUAAUAUCGUCCAAGACUAGCCAUCCAUAAGGCAUGGCAUUUCUUUCAAACAUAAAAAAAAAACAGUGAAUCUGAAUCUACUCACCAAGGAGAGCACAAAUGCGUUGUUCCUGAACUCCUAACUCUUCUUCUUACUGACGAUCUUUACAAAAAUGCAGGUAAAGGUGGCCAUCUAAAUUGUGCAGCUAGCGGCGAAUUGUUCCUUUAUAGUGGCCGCGGUCAGUUGAUUUAAAGCCGCAGCGCUAGUGCUUUAAAUAGAAAUUAAUUCAAACUACUGACACCAUGGUACCAAGACACAAGCAGUAAGCUAGCUAGCUAUAAUUAUGGCUUAUUAAGUGAGAUGAUUAUAUGUGAACUAGACAAAUAAAUUUAUUAUAAUUAUGCAUGUGCUGUAACUGCUCUAGCUGAUAUAUAAAGUCCUUUUGUUUGUCUUCCACUGUACAGGUGGAAAAAAAUUACUUGCAAUUUGAAGAGAGCUGUAUAUCUAUCCAUUAAGCUUACUCACGUAUUAUAAUUAAUUGCAGGAGGGCCUUGAGCAGAGCGUUUCAGAUUUAGAGCCUGAAAAUAAUUUGGUACUUUUGGGCUGGCCAAGGCUGCAUGGUUAUUGAAGCUUCUGUCCCCUUCCAGGCCUAUCCACUUGUAGGGGGGGAAGUUGUGUACAGUACAUUAGGCCACUCCAAAUGAGACUGUAGUUUCCCGUCAGAGACUCUAGUAAAUUAUAAGCGGAUGUAUCAUAAUGACUAUCAAUGAGGUUGCUAAAGCAAGAAGCGCGAGUUGGACGGGAAACUACAGUCUCAUUUGGAGUGGCCUUAGCUAUGAGCCUGUGCCUGUGUGUGUGUGGGGGGGGGGUACAGUUUAUCACUGCUAUCAGAGCUAUAUCCUCCUCCCCCCCAGCUCCUGGUGACGACUGACGGCUAGCCACAGGGAUCACUCGAGACGAUAUUGGCCAGCCCGGGGCCCUCCUUGACAGCUACAUUGUACAUAUCGCAGCCAUCUUACUGACGGCAAGUUGUGUGAAAGGGCAAAUCGUGGACCUGGUGUCACCGUCACCAACCAGCUAUUGUGACGGUGAUGCUACGACAUGCCGGGUUAGUGGGCCUGCAAUCUUUUGGCAGGCCUCACCGUUUUUAGAUGCCGCUGUAGGGUAUCAGACUCAGGACUCACCGCCAGCCACCAACACAUUUGCUGAUGGGGAUAUUUCCAUAUCCCUCAUCAGCAAUAACCCUCUGGCAUCAGAGUUGGUAUUGAGAGGCAUUGACACUGUCAAUAUCACAUGCUCAACACUGGUAUCCAAAUCUAUACAACUGACACGAUCAUCAACACCCACCCCCUGUGGUUAAUGCCACCAUGACAUACACUGGUGGGGCUGUUUUCCAUAUUAGUCCAAAAUUGGUACCUAGGUGGUGUCCUUGGUAGUGUGACAAUUAACCAAAUGACAGUGGUGAGGUUCAACGUAACUGAAAAUUACGUUGAUAUGAACCUCACCCUGUCAGGUAAUGACCACCUUACAGCAGAAGUGAGGGUUGUUUCUAGGUGUGGUCAGGUGUCUGCACCGAGAAACACGAACGACAUUUAUAUCAUAUCAACUCGAUCUCUUGGUGCAGACCCAACAAUGACAGACCUAUACCAGUGAUAACGUUGUCAACGCUCUUUGUUUUGUCUGUUUUGGUUUUGUCUGUUCUGAUGGUCAUUGUGUGCUGGAAAUAUCAAGGCCACUUUAGGCGGACCACUCAUCAUUCAUCGAAUGCUGAAGAACUUCCUACUGAGACUAAACAGUGUAAUUACCUAAUUAGAACGUAAAUAGUAGUCUUAGUCUGUAAUUUUUGGAGAAAUCUAUAUAGCAGUCCUAGUACUUUUUACAUACACCGAGUAUGUAUAUUGAAAUUUUAUUCUGAAAUUUUUAU